GUAUUAGUUAUGUUCUUGAAACCCAGAGAAUUUGGCGGUAUUUUAUUCUUUUUAGAGGAACCUGUCCUGUAAUCGACAUUCCACGAUGAGGAGUUACUUGUUCUUGUUCUCAGUUUGUAUACCUCCGUCAUCAGAUUAUCUUUUUAGAGUUAAUAUUCUAUUUACAUGGAAUGUGUUAUGUCAGGUCAAGGUGCAAUUUAUGGGCAAGUAGAGAUGGGUUACAAUAGAAUUAUUUAUACGGAUUGGGGUUGUUAAUCUGGCUCCAUGAAGGUGGAUUUAAAAGUAAAAUUGAUUUCUUGUUAAUUUGAUUUUAGCUCUGAAAUAUGCACACAUCGCCCG
rnacentral:rRNA from 1 species